UGUUUCAACAUUCAGUAUUCUUCGACUGAUUACAUCUACCAAAUUGUAGCUGUGUCCGACUGCAGUGUUGCAUGAACAGAUUCUCUGCGAUCAAGCAGCAUGUCAGAUUGCAACUCAUGCAAAGCAGAGAAAGAAAGGUGGUGGAUCUCACAAUGCCAUUGCUGUUGAAGCCAAACGCACAGCUGGGUAGCUCGCCUGCGUAAGUGUAUGCUGUGAACGACGCCCCAUUCGGCAGUCUUGCCCUCACCAGCGAUGGCCAUGGAGUCGUUUACCACAAGAACAUCCGAGCAGUCGUCGUCGUCGUCGUCGUCAUCAGCAGCAGCUUCCUUUUGUGGAGUGGUCUCCUCCUUUGGAAUGAAGGGGAGGAUCUCCUUCCGAAAGUUCAGUAGUAUUAUCUACUCAUGGCAACAACACGAAACAACCGUGCCUGAUGUGACUUGUGGAAUGGAGAAUGAGAUGAAGCGAGGAAUCAGGUGAAGCAGGAAAAGGGAAGGGGCGG